CGUGCUGCCGAAGAGACUGCCCCCUCCUGGCCAGUCCCGGAACGCUGCUGCCCGGGGCUCCGUCUCCGCCCUGCCGGGGGCGCGCCGGGACCGACGCCCGCCCUGCCCUGCCCUGCCCUGCGCUGCGCUGCGCUGCGCUAACAUGGGCUCCAUGUUGGGCGACAAGUGAGAUUUUCGUCAGUCUCAGAGGAGGCGGAGGGGUCGACGCAUAUACCACAGCGGGGGUCGAUGCCUCCCUGGCAGCGGUGUCAGGCCCAGGCUAUUGGAGAGGCGAGUGCAAAAAGAAAGAUACUGCAUCAACAAAGAGCCCUAAAGAAAUCUGAUAUGAGUAAUGCAAUUAAAUUUUACAUUGGUGCAGGCACUUAACAA